GUGUGUACGCGGUAGGCCGCGCACAACUUUCCCUCUUCUAUCCUUAUCCCUUAUCUUUUCUUCUACCUUCAGCCGCGACUCCACAACCACGUUUCCUCUCUCCUCGUCGCUGCUCACGAACCAGUGCAAGCUCCUCACGCCGCCGGCCGCCGUCGUCGCUGCCGUUCCAUCGCUCCUGCUCGCCGGUCACCCGUGCAGACCACACUCAUCCCUCGGCCGCCCCAUGCUUCUGUCAUAAGGCUGCAGCUCACCCGCCAGCCGGUCCCAGCUCGCAGCCACCAUGGCCGCAGCAUCUCCCCGCGUCACCGCCUCCGCUCCUCGCCGUCGUCCAUGGGCAUCUCUGUUUUUUGCUGGAACCAAUCAUCGGAGCGGAGCUGCAUCCAUGGCACUCCGACGAGCGGCAGGGGCAGCGAGCGGUCCGGGCGAGCUGAGUCCCGGAGCGCGGGGCGGCCCCAACGGGUGGCAGGGGCGGCGAACGGUCUGGACGAGCUGAGUCGCGGAGCUGCAUCCAUGGCGAUCCGACGGGAGGCAGCGAGCGGUCAGCUCCAACUGGCGGCCGGGGCGGCGAGCGGCCGGGGGCGAGCUGAGUGCCGGAGCGUGGGGCGGCCCUGACGGGCGGUCGGUGCGGCGAGCGCUCAGGGAGACGAGGAUAAGGUAGAAAAAAAAUAGCAGAGGAGCUCCGAUCUGACGGUGUCGUACAGUAGAUCGGGCGGCUGGGAGCGGACCGGCCGAAACAUUCGGCCGGCGCACCGGCGCCCAGUGUCGCCCUUUUUUUAACCGGAUGGAAGUGAAGGCGGCCUUGCUUCCGCGAGGGAAGAUGGGCAGGCCAAAUGGCUGGAAUAAAUGUUCGGACAGGCUAUCGGGUCAAUGUCCGGACGAUUUUUUACCCAAA